AAGUUCCGUAGGUGAACCUGCGGAAGGAUCAUUAACACGUAUCCAAACGUGAAACCCCCCUGUGAACCUUCAGUGUACUCGUACGUCCGUUAGAAAAAGCAGAAUCCAUCGCCGAACAGUUUUCGAUUCAGGGACGUCUGCAAGGAGCGUGCAUGUUGUGCGAAGCAAGUGGCCUGGCAUCCCCAAGCAGUUAGUGUCUGAAAGUGUCAUUAACUGUGUAAGGAUGACGCAGUCACGAUCGUUGGAGGCCCACACGGCCGACGACCGGGUCACUGGGCGCAAGCCCCCCUAUAACAAACGCUGCUAAUCGCGGCCGCGAUAAUACGCAGUCGACCAAAAACCGAACAACUGUUAACAAUGGAUAUCUUGGUUCUC
rnacentral:misc_RNA from 1 species